GGUAUUUACCAUUCGAAACGUGCAGUUAAUUAUAAAUAAAAUUAAAAAACAGUUCCUUUGGAAUUAUGCCAUUAAUUCUGGCAAGUGGUAGGCAGAUCCUGAUACACACCAGAUUACAAAAUCACAUGCAGAUGGGUCGGGGAGGGUGUUAAAGUCUGAACUGAAUCAGUUCUUUCAUGGAGAUUGUACGGACGCUUCGUUCGGUCCGGAAACCCAUUCUUGUUCCAGCUUUUGACAAACGCAUUUUCGACAAUAUUGUCGGGUGGUUCACUGAAACACGAAAUAAGUGACACGCUAUCAAGAAUUAAAUACACUUUAAUCUUUUUCUUACCUACUAUAUUCGUAAGAAUAUUAGUGAGUUUUAUCUGUUUUACCUAGAAAUCAUUUCACCACGCAUCCAGCCAGUUUUGUUGUGAGAUGAAAGAAAUGAAACAAAAUCCGAGAAAUAAACCUUCAUCCAUUCUGCAUUGUUUGGAUGAUAACACUCACGUUGCAUCCCUAAGAUCACUUUAUGUUUCGGCUUUACUGUUUUUUUCUGACUAAUGUUGUAACAUUAGCACACACAAUACACGACAAAUGUUUUUACAUAUUUUAAAAAUAAUUUUGAUAAAGUAAUAACUGUAAAAUGAGCAAUUAAAAGUUCAUUUUAUUGUCGGUUUUUCUUUAAAGAUGUAUGUUUCUUGCGUGUUAAUUAAAACUUACAUGCAACCAAUAGGGUUUCUUCGUAUAAUAUUGUGUAGCUGGCUCUAUAUGCUUACUUAUAUUAUGUCAACGCAAUAAUUAAUAUUUAUCCUUAUAAUACUUCGCGUUUGCAAGUACAGGGAGUAAUGGUGUUAUUGUAUCAUUAACAUAUAUUAACACAGCUAUAGUGAAAAGAUCUUGGAAUUACGAAAUUGUGCUGUUGCUGGCACGAAGUGAGUAUUUGGUCCGGUAAACGUAGUCCGGCUUCAACAAGACGAGGACGAAAUGUCGUCGGCUAUAUUCCUCCUCAAAAUAGUGUAUUAUUGCGUCCCAGUUCACUGAUAUUUCGAUUGUAUGGACCAUGUGAAUAGAGUUCCUGUACAGAAAGUAUGUAACCAGCAAUAGAUGACUUAUCUGAUCAGUUUGCCUGCAUUACCACCGAUCUGCCAAGAGGAAUGUUGUCAACAUCAUCAUGUAUAUGUGG